CAGCGCCACGAGUGGCAACCAUAUUUAUUGGGCCUAAAGCGUCCGUAGCCGGUUUGGUAAGUCUUUUGUGAAAUCGUUGAGCUCAACUUAACGGUGUGCAAGAGAUACUGCCAGACUUGAAACUGGGAAGGGUCAGGGGUAUUCCGUGGGGAGCGGUAAAAUGUUAUAAUCCUCGGAAGACCACCUGUGGCGAAGGCGCCUGACUAGAACAGCUUUGACGGUGAGGGACGAAAGCCAGGGGAGCAAAACGGAUUAGAUACCCGAGUAGUCC
rnacentral:rRNA from 1 species